rnacentral:lncRNA from 1 species
UUGGUGCCAUGUUUUUUGGGAAUUUUCGGCCAAAUCCAAAGGGUGGAUUUUUGGGUUCUUGUUUGACUUGUUAAAAUGUGUUUUCUAAGUGAACUUUUUGGAACCCCUAUGUACCCUAGUUUGGUUAUAUGUUAUUUCCCUUAAGUUUGAAUGGUUUUGGGUGAAAAAUGUUGAUGGAAAUUUUUUGAGUUUUUCAGGAGUGUUCUUCAUUGUUCUUGACAUUUUUGCCAAGAACAAAAAGUUUGGUGUUUUGAUUCAAAGUUUUGAUUUAUUUCAUAAAGUUUAUGUUUUAUAUUUUUCAAAUGUUUAAAUGUGUUAGAUAUUUAUUUAGAAAGGUGUAAGAAAUAUUGGUUGGCGUGUAAGGAUUAAUUCCCUUUCACACACACCACUUGCAUGACAUUUAUGUCAUGCACCACUUGCAUGACUUUAUGUCUAAAACUACAAAUCAACACACACAUCACUCCGUUCUCUCCAAAACCAGCCACCCUACAAGUGGGGUGUUUUUUGGGCUUUUAUGCAAUUACAUAAAGUUUUGGUACUUUUGUGUAAUUUGUAGUUUGACCCAAAAGUUUACGUGUUUACGUAAAGGCCCAAAAUCAUUAAAGGACAAAUUGUUUUGUUCCUUUAAUGAAGUUUUUGAAUUUGUUGAAAUUUUUGGGUUCUAGUUGUAAUUACAUGUAGUAGUGAACUUUUGUGUUUUUACAAAGUGACCCCAAAAGUUUAUGUUUUUGCAACAUAGCCCAAAAAGUUGAGGUUAUUGCAUUUUGGCCCAAAUUAGGUUGAGAACAAAAUGGUUUUGU